rnacentral:rRNA from 1 species
UACGAAGGGGGCUAGCGUCGCUCGGAAUCACUGGGCGUAAAGCGCACGUAGGUGGGUCAUUUAGUCAGGGGUGAAAUCCUGGAGCUCAACUCCAGAACUGCCUUUGAUACUGAUGAUCUUCGAGUCCGGGAGAGGUGGGUGGAACUGCGAGUGUAGAGGUGAAAUUCGUAGAUAUUCGCAAGAACACCAGUGGCGAAGGCGGCUCACUGGCCCGGUACUGACACUGAGGUGCGAAAGCGUGGGGAGCAAACAGG